rnacentral:rRNA from 1 species
AGACGUAGGGGGCUAGCGUUGUCCGGAAUUACUGGGCGUAAAGGGCGUGUAGGCGGCCAGGCAAGUCAGUGGUGAAACACCUGGGCUUAACCGAGGUAUUGCCGUUGAAACUGUCUGGCUUGAGGAUAGAAGAGGAGUGUGGAAUUCCCGGUGUAGCGGUGAAAUGCGUAGAGAUCGGGAGGAACACCAGUGGCGAAGGCGGCACUCUGGUCUAUACCUGACGCUGAGGCGCGAAAGCUAGGGAAGCAAACAGGAUUAGAUACCCUGGUAGUCCUAGCCGUAAACGAUGGGCACUAGGUGUAGGAGGUUUAGAUACCUUCUGUGCCGUAGCUAACGCAUUAAGUGCCCCGCCUGGGGACUACGGUCGCAAGGCUAAA